rnacentral:lncRNA from 1 species
AUAUGUAUUAAAUAUGUCAGACCCUCUGAAUAAUUAUGAAGAAAGAGAUAGACACAAUUUUACAUGACAUUGUUAUUUUACAUGAGAGGAUCCCAAUCCCAGUGUUGUUUAACAUAUGUUCAGAAAACGUGCAGCAUAUUUUCCAUUUAGGGAAUAAUACAACUUGCUGUACCUCGACAUUGACAAGAGUGUACUUCAUAGGUGUAAUUGAAUAGUGUUUGUAAAUAUUUAGUUAAUGCCCCACUCAUGGUAUUUGCACUUAUUUUAGACUGGCUAUUCAGUUGUUUCGGCAUGUGUUGUUGUACUUCGCUGGAAGGAUAAGACAACUGGUCAAGUAUCAUCUUCAGCAAAGAGGGAAGGUGUAAUUUGCCUUAUUGCUGUUGCUGUUUCUGGAUUUAUUGGGGGGCUCUUUUUCCGCUAUGAUGCUUCACCUAUUUUGUUGAUUCUGGCUAUACUUAUUGGAGCUGGUGCUUCUGCUGCUCUUCAUUUCCGCCAGGUGAGUGUGCUUUUGUAUUUUAUUAACUGUUUGUUGCCUGGACUUCUUCAAAAUGGUUUGGUUAAAAACUAAUUAAUUUGAUAUAACAUGGCAUACAAAACAAAUCGAAAGCACUAAAGGAUAUUCAGUUAUAAUUUAAUUUUGCUUUAGUACAGGAGGGAAAUUAAAAACCAUCUUUGAUUGAAUAACUAAUCAAAGGUAAAAUUAAUAUUGAUUUAAUUCAGUUUCAAAAAAAAAUAUUGAUUUGGUUCGAUGUAAUUUGCAACUUUUGCAUGCUUAAAGGACUCUUGGCUUGUUGGGGAGGGGAAUACGAAAUGAUUUCAUGAGAAGAAGAUCAAGUACUGAGGUUGUCUCAUACAUUCUGCAAUGGUGACUCAAAUUUAUUAUAUAUAGGGGUGGAUAACAAGCUAAAUAUGGGUUGAAACUUGAAAACCAAUAUCAAGGCCAACAUGGUGUGUAAGCAGGUUUGGGCCAACUCGCGGAUCCGAUCAAGCCGACUUGAUCCAAGUAAAAUUAUAGCUCGGCUUUGGUAGGAUAGGAAGGAAAAGAAUCUUGAUCCAAGUGAGGUCAGGUUUUGGGUCAGGAAAAUUGAGUUGAGGCCUCGAUCAAUCUGGGCCGACUCGAUAUAUCAUUAUUUUAUAUAUCUCUUUCAAAAAAAUCAUUGUAUAUAAUCUAAAACAAAAAUUGAUCUUUAAUUGGUUUGGAUCUACUUUCUCUCAAAUCUGACCUGACCUGAUUAAACCUCUAUGUUAUUUUCUCUCAUUAAUUCCUUUCUGUUCUAUCAUUUUGCUUUCCAGGUUUAUGCAGCAGAUUCACCAGGGUUUUCUUGCCCUGGGGUUCCCCUUGUGCCAAAUGUUUGCAUCUUUUUCAACAUGUUCUUAUUUGCCCAGGUAUGCCCAUGAUCUCUACUAUUUGAAAGUUUAGCCAGAAUUAAUACUGUCUUAGAAAACGUUAAAGUUAAUAGUUUUAAUAUUUCUACAUAAAAACUGACAAAUGAUGAUGAACUUCUGUUGACAGUUACAUCAUGAAGCAUGGCUGAGAUUUGUGAUUAUUAGUGUUGUUAUGGUUGGUUUUUAUGCAAUAUAUGGGCAGUAUCAUGCUGACCCCAGUGCAGAGGAGAAUGCUGUUUAUCAUGAGGCACCAGAGGAAGAAACUUGAUGAGUUAUCAGGUCAAUAUUAAACAAUGUGGUUUUCAUUGGCCAAUGGGGAGAAGGGGGUGUUGGUUAAAAUGUAUGUAGCAAAUAAGCUAUUUGUUCUUUCUGUUAGGAGUGUGAAUGUCCAUCAGGUAUAGUCAGAUUGUAUAUGGCACUGUCAGCAAGCAUAAUACAUUAAUACCCAUUAGGGAUUUAUAUUGCUAAAUUGCAUAUGAUAAAGAAAAAAGAAAAAAGAAACUAAGGCAACCAUGUGGUGCACAACACAAUUUUAUAUUGCUAAAUUGUAUAUGGUAGAAAAGAAAAAAGAAACUAAGGUCACCAUUUGGUGCACAACACAAUUUUAUGUUGGUAAAUUGUAUAUGAUAAAAAAGAAAAAUGGAACUAAGGCCAUCAUGUGGUGCACAACACAAUUUUAUAUUGCUAAGUUGUAUAUAUGUUAGAAAAGAAAAAUGAAACUAAGGCCUGUAUGUGAUGCACAACACAAUUUUAUAUUGCUAAAUUUGUAUACAAUCCCUGACCAGAAGUCCAUCCAUGCUCGAGUUAUUUCUAAUAUAGAGAAGAGCUUGUAAGGUGUAGAUGACAGCUGAAGACUCCUCUUCUAAAAAUUUAAGUGGUAUGAAAAGUUAGCAAUCAUCAUAUAUAACUUAGCAAAAAAUUUAACAUAAAUUUUAACAUAGGUUUGGAAAGACUAUUACUAAACUUCUUAUAAAAUAUGAAUUUCUCUUUAUAUUUUUGUUGAAAUCAGAUUUUUACUGUGAGCAUCAGCAAUGCAGAACACAAAAACAUAGAUUGUGCAAACUUUUUAUUUGUAAUUAUAUUGAAACCUUAGAAAUUAAAUGGGCAGAAAUCAGUUGUUUAGUUUUAUAGUCCUGGAUUUUAAUCAAAGAAUCAUAAUAAGUUAAAAUAUUUUUGGCCCAUCUAAAUAUUGUGUGUGUGUGUGUGUGUUUUUUUUUGGUGAAAGUCACUUUCUCUUCUUAUUUCUCUAUUUUCUCCCUAUCACAUUACAUAUAAAAUCUUUCAUUACUCUCAAAUUUCUUUGGUGGAGGCAGAUUUGUAUUGUGAACAUAAGUUUUUCCAAAAUCUAACUCACUGAUGCUUUGUGUAUUUGUGAUGUCAUACUUUUCCAUGUACAUUUUAUUAAUGGGCCAAAUUUGUUGUUUCAGAAAAAAAGAAAAAUUCACUUUUAUUAGUCUGUGUUACCCACCACAAAAAGAGGUUUUUGGUGGCAGUCAGAAGUGCCACCUUCUUCUAGUAGUUAACCUCUUACUAAUGUGAGUACCAGCAUGGUCAGAGACAGUGAGACACCUUCAUCUCAAAGCAUUUCAGAGAAAUCCAUUACUAUAUAUUUUCCAAACCAUGUGUAUCCAACAACCUUACCACAAAAAAGUCAAUAACUACCAUGAAGGUAUCAAUAUUCUCAAUCAUUGACCCCACAUUAUAAUUUACACUUACCUCCUUCAUGACUUUAUAUAUCAACCACCAUCACCAUGUUAUUUGAUAGAGUGAUUCUUUUCCUCCAAUCUUCAUCUAUGGAGGUAACAAUGACUUCACCCAUAUCAAAACCAAUAAAUUCCUAGUCAUUCAACUUUCCUACAUUAUUAUGGGAUUGGCUGGUGCUGCUUCUCCUUCUUCUCCAUCCUCAUUAUCAUCAUCUUAUUGCUCCCGUUUUUGGUCCUCGGCACUCCGGUCCAAGCUCCUCGUGUCGCCGGCGGAGAAGGCCGCUCGUGACAGCUCCAGCAGCGGACUCUCCCGCCGCCUCGGUGUCCUCGACCUCCUGCUGCUUGGUAUUGGUGCUUCCAUUGGUGCCGGCAUCUUCGUCAUCACCGGAACCGUUGCCCGCGACGCCGGACCCGGUAUGCCUCCAAUUUAAUUGAAAUGGGCUGUUCAAAUUUUCUGUCUAGUUUUGUUUUUGUUACUAUUUUCAUCAUGAUCAUCAUUCUUCAUGAUCAUUAUAAAUUUUGUGAUUUUGCUAAGAAAAAAAGGCACAAAUUAUUGAAAUAUAGUAGAGAUUAAACAUUGGAAGUAAAAGAAAGAAGUAUCUAUGGCAUUUCUGGCAAUGGGAAUCAUUGAAUGCUUGCUUGGUAAGGCUCAUUCAUGCCAUGUAGCUUGAUUGUUGACUUUGUUGUGUUUGCUAUGUAGUAGUUUAUCCAUGAAAUGUCUGGCAAGGGUACAGCUACUAUUUCAAAGUUUCCAAGUGUGUAUUAGUUUUUGAACACAUGUUAAAUACUAUAAGUUAUCUAAUUAUUAUGUAUUCUCCUACCCAUGUUGGUGAAAAUUCUAUAAAUUAAAGUAGAAAGUUGGAGGGUGUAGGCUAAGAGUAUAUGUUGGUGGUGCCUGAAGACUGUCCUGUGUUUGAUAGCAGCACUGCAACUAUUUGAAUUUUUCAUGCUUGAUAAUUAACAUGUGAGAUGUAACUCUUAGUUUGCAACUUUGAGAGGUUUAGUCAUUCUUGAUAAUGAUAAAAAUGGGAAGGUUGUCAAUGAGAAAUGAAAGCCACUGAAUGCUGCUUGCUUGUCAAGGCUCAUUCAUGAUUCAUGCCUUGUAGCUGGGGUAGCUGGAUUGUUGACUUUAUUGUGUUUGUUAGGCAGUAGUUUAUGUAACGAAUGUGGGAUAGCUAAAAUUUCGAUUCAGUCUUUUGUAAUUUUAUAAUGCAAUCUGGAGGGUACAAAUAGAACAAGUUUUCUCAUUCCAUUUUCCAAAUUCUCUAAUCUUUGCUAGGCAUCAUUAGGUAAAAGUGUAUACAUCUUUCUUCCUCUUCGGUUUUCGCUUUCUCCCUUCAUGUUAUUUAUUUUCAUACCCACAAUGGGUUAGUAUCCGUGUUUCUACGGAUAUGUAUGUGUCUUUGACAACAACAUAGAUUUUCUAUGUUAGACUUCUUCUUCAUGAAACUUGUAUCCAUCACAAAUGGCUACUUUGCACCUCUUCAGAAGGGAGUACGACAGGGUAUAAAUUACUGUUUAGUUACAUCUUGAGUAGUUACAAAAUUUGAUGGUUUCUUCAGCUUGCUUACAUUUGCACUUCAGUCUUCUCUAUUGUAAUGCUACUCGAUGUGCUGAGACAGAACUAUUCUUAUUUCUUAUUUUGAAAAAUUGACCUUCAUUCUGUAUCUAUUUAUCUUUAUAACUGCUUUAAAAUAUCGGUCAGGACUUGUAAUGGUUACUUUGCUUUUACCAUUCCAAACUUAGUGGCUUAUUCAUGGUUUCUUUCUGUAAUGCAGGAGUAACAAUAAGUUUUAUACUUGCGGGGGCAUCCUGUGUUAUAAAUGCACUCUGUUUUGCUGAGCUAGCUUCUCGAUUUCCUGCUGUUGUUGGAGGGGCAUAUCUAUAUGCAUAUACUGCUUUUAAUGAACUUACAGCUUUUCUUGUUUUUGCACAAUUAAUGUUUGACCAUCAUAUUGGAGCAGCUAUAAUAGCAAGAAGUUGUGCAAAUUAUUUGGUAGAAUUUCUAGAGCUCUUCUCUUUUUUCAAAGAUAACAUUCCGAAAUGGAUUGGACAUGGUGAAAGCAUUGGAAACGUGCUAUCCAUCAAUGUCUUAGCUCCAAUUCUCCUACUGCUUCUCACUUUUAUUCUCUGUCGAGGUGUUCAAGAAUCAUCAGUUGUGAAUUCGUUUAUGACAGUGACCAAGGUUCCUUUCCAUCUUAUCCGUUAUGACUUACCAGAAUAUAACAUUAAGCAUUGGAUGAGAGCUGGGGUUUAUGUGAGAACAGAAUCACAAGUUAUUUUACUGUUUGUUGCAGGUAGUCAUUGUUAUUAUUGUCAUUUUUGCUGGAGCUUUUGAGGUUGAUGUUUCCAACUGGUCUCCCUUUGCUCCAAAUGGUGUAAAAAGCAUAUUUACAGGAGCUACUGUAGUCUUCUUUGCAUGUAUUGGAUAUGAUGCAGUUGCCAAUUGUGCUGAAGAAUCUAAGAGGCCACAGGUAUAUUAUGUUUUGAGAGAUUUCUCUGCUAGUUAAUGAACUUUCCUGAUGCCUUAUGUGUUAUUUAAUGUUUAUGUUGAGAACAAUAAUGAUGUUAGAAACAAACUAGUGACUACUAGGAGUUUUAUGACUGCUGCUAGGUGCCAUAGUUUAUUGUAUACACCUUGCCUUCAAUUAUCUUAGAAGUAAAUAGUAACUAUUCAGAUUUAGUUGUAGUUACUAGUUACCACUUACCAUCAUAGUUAUAAAUUAACUUCAGCUCAUUUUGUAAAUGUACUUGUACACGCGCAUAGCAGUUUAACAGAAACUAUCUGGCAAUGGUAUAUUUAUUUUGUGUCUAAUUUAAAGUCACGCUUUCCAUUCUAACUUUUUCUCUUCUUUUUGUUGUCAUGAAUUAGUUGAUGAUGUUUUUCUUUUUGGGUGUGUUUCUGAAUUUUUAAGGGAGGGGAGCGUAAGGGAGGGGGAAGGAGGGCAAGCCCUUCCUUGUUUGGAAGUUCAAAUCCCCCAAUUUGGGGGGAAAUAGAAAAUAUAACUAAAAGAGGGUCUUGGUGGGAUCUUGGAGGGUAUUCGAAAAUUCCCCAAACCCUUCCCCCUAUUCGAAAAACUCACGGACAAGGGGAGGGCUUCUUGGAAGCCUUGCCCUUCCCUCCCCUCCCCUCCAAAACUCAACUCGCAAACCCACCCUUAAUCUUUCUAAUUUCUAACAUUUCAGCGUGAUUUGCCGAUAGGCAUAAUUGGAAGCCUCUUGGUUUGUGUUGCGUUGUACAUUGGAGUAUGCUUAGUGAUUACUGGAAUGGUUCCAUACAAUCUCCUAGGAGAAGAUGCUCCUUUGGCUGAAGCUUUUAAAUCUAAGGGGUUAAAAUUUGUUUCUGUUCUGAUUAGCAUUGGUGCUGUUGCUGGACUUAUAACAACACUCCUUGUUAGUCUCUAUGUUCAGGUGAAUCACUUGUGAAUUAUGAAUUUAAUUGAUGUGCCUUGUGGCAUGUGCUAAUGUACAUGAUGUUUCUGUUGAGCAGUCUCGGCUAUAUCUUGGGCUUGGCAGGGAUGGUUUACUACCCCCAUUAUUUGCUAAAGUUCACUCCAAACGCCACAUCCCCAUUCAUUCUCAGAUUUGGGUUGGUUGUGUUGCUAGUGUUUUGGCUGGACUGUUGAAUGUGCACAUGCUCUCACACAUUCUUUCUGUUGGUACACUGGUAAGUUUUGAUUUCUUAUUUCAUGGUAUUCAGGUUGUCAACAAAAUAUAUGUAUCCACAUUAUUUUGUAUGAUGUGGUGUCACAUGACACUAUCAUGUUGCAAUUCUAUAUCUAUCUUUCUCUUCAAAUAUUAAAUAGUUUGAACCCUUUGAAUAUUUAUGAAGGAAGAGAUAGACGGAAAGUUUCACAUGACAAUGUCAUGUGGCAUGAUAAGAUCCCGAUCCCAGUGGUUGUUUAACAUAUAUUCAGAUAACGUGCAUCAUCUUAUCUAUGUAGGGAAUAAUACAACAUGGUGUACCUUGACAUUGAGAAGAGUGUAAUUGAACAAUGUUUGCAAAUAUUUUUAGUUAAUGCCCCUCACAUGGUAUUUGCACUUAUUUCAGACUGGCUAUUCCGUUGUUUCGGCAUGUGUUGUUGUACUUCGCUGGAAGGAUAAGACAAAUAGUCAAGUAUCACCUUCAGCAAAGAGGGAAGGUGUAAUUUGCCUCAUUGCUGUUGCUGUUUCUGGAUUUAUUGGGGGGCUUUUUUUCCGCUAUGAUGCUUCACCUAUUUUGCUGAUUCUGGCUAUACUUGUUGGAGCUGGUGCUUCUACUGCUCUUCAUUUC